rnacentral:rRNA from 1 species
GUGGGGAAUAUUGGACAAUGGGCGAAAGCCUGAUCCAGCAAUGCCGCGUGAGUGAUGAAGGCCUUAGGGUUGUAAAGCUCUUUUACCAGGGAUGAUAAUGACAGUACCUGGAGAAUAAGCUCCGGCUAACUCCGUGCCAGCAGCCGCGGUAAUACGGAGGGAGCUAGCGUUGUUCGGAAUUACUGGGCGUAAAGCGCACGUAGGCGGUUACUCAAGUCAGAGGUGAAAGCCCGGGGCUCAACCCCGGAACUGCCUUUGAAACUAGGUAACUAGAAUCUUGGAGAGGUCAGUGGAAUUCCGAGUGUAGAGGUGAAAUUCGUAGAUAUUCGGAAGAACACCAGUGGCGAAGGCGACUACCUGGACUGAUACUGACACUGAGGUGCGAAAGCGUGGGGAGCAAACAGGAUUAGAAACCCGGGUAGUCC